GACGAACGCUGGCGGCGUGCUUAACACAUGCAAGUCGAACGGAAAGGCCCUGCUUUUGUGGGGUGCUCGAGUGGCGAACGGGUGAGUAACACGUGAGUAACCUGCCCUUGACUUUGGGAUAACUUCAGGAAACUGGGGCUAAUACCGGAUAGGAGCUCCUGCUGCAUGGUGGGGGUUGGAAAGUUUCGGCGGUUGGGGAUGGACUCGCGGCUUAUCAGCUUGUUGGGGGGGUAGUGGCUUACCAAGGCUUUGACGGGUAGCCGGCCUGGGAGGGUUGACGGCCACAUUGGGACUGAGAGACGGCCCAGAAUCCUACGGGAGGCAGCGGUGGGGAAUAUUGCACAAUGGGGGGAAGCCUGAUGCAGAAACGCCGGGUGCGGGAUGACGGCCUUCGGGUUGUAAACCGCUUUCGCCUGUGACGAAGCGUGAGUGACGGUAAUGGGUAAAGAAGCACCGGCUAACUACGUG
rnacentral:rRNA from 1 species